CGUACGACGAGUUUGAUCCUGGCUCAGAGCGAACGCUAGCGGCAGGCUUAACACAUGCAAGUCGAACGAAGUUCUUCGGAACUUAGUGGCGAACGGGUGAGUAACACGUAGGUAAUGUACCCUUUGGUGGAGGAUAACUCAGGGAAACCUGAGCUAAUACUGCAUAUGUCCUUCGGGAUAAAAGUCUUCGGACGCCUUAGGAGCAGCCUGCGGCCCAUUAUCUAAUCCUAGUUGGUAGGGUAACGGCCUACCAAGGGUACGAUGGGUAGCUGGUCUGAGAGGAUGAUCAGCCACACUGGGACUGAGACACGGCCCAGACUCCUACGGGAGGCAGCAGUGGGGAAUAUUGGACAAUGGGGGAAACCCUGAUCCAGCAAUGCCGCGUGAAUGAAGAAGGCCUUAGGGUUGUAAAAUUCUUUUGUUCGUGAAGAUAAUGACGGUAGCGGACGAAUAAGCCCUGGCUAACUCUGUG
rnacentral:rRNA from 1 species